rnacentral:sRNA from 1 species
GUGGGGUGUGGUGGUGCACGCCUGUAAUCCCAGCAGUUUGGGAGGCUGAGACAGGAGGAUCGCAAGUUCAAAGCCAGCCUCAGCAACUUAGUGAGGCUUUAAAUAAUUUAGUGAGACCCUGUCUAAA